rnacentral:lncRNA from 10 species
AAAGAAACUGUGGGAGGGACGGAGAGGAAAAGCCGGGGACACAGAAGUGGCGAUCGGAAAAGGAGAGGGAGAUCAUCUACUUCUCUUCUACUACUACCGUUAGAUUGCAUGUCUCACAUUCCAUUUCGUCCGCGGGGACUGGUAAUUUUUUCCAAAGCUUCUAAACAAUCGCCCGCCAACUUAAAGAGGAGCCUGAGCGCGCCGAGCUCUCUCCUUCCAGGAUUUAGGAUCCAUCUCCACGCGUUUUGGCAAUGAGCUAGAAACGAAAACACAGCCCCCACUUCACGAUUAUUCAGAAAUUAUUUUGAGGAAAAUUCACAUUCAUCAGAGGAGCCAUUAGAGAGUCUUCACCAAGACUGAAAAUAUAAGUGAGAGUACAUCUUGAAGUGCUACUGCAGAGGAGGAAGAAAAGUAGAUUCGUGUGUGAAAUUCUACCUACCAAAUGUGAGUAAGCGUGCAUAUGUGCAACAAUUUGUAAAGUUGUUUACUAUAACAUCACCAUCACUUUAACGUACAUAGCAGUCUCUGUUAUAUAAAGCAUACUUAUUUUUGUGCACCGACCAUAUGCUAGUUGCUGAGGAUGCAAAGGAGAAAAAGACAUUCGUCCCUAUCAGCCUUUACUGUACAUUAUUUCUGUUGAGUCUUAUUACCAUAACAUCAUUGAAAUUUUGUGUUAGUGGAGCCUGGAAGAUCAUCUAAUCCUAACAUUGCAGAUCUCAUGCUACCAUUUCCCCUGUGACCAUGUCAGACAUCACAAAUGGCUUUCCGAUCCUUCCCCUCAAGAUCUGAGGCAAUCUCAGUAACACUGUCAGGAUAGAACUGUAGUCUGCCUCUCACUGUGAGCUCAACAGAUUCAUCCCUAUAUAUCACUCCUG